rnacentral:rRNA from 1 species
UUAUCGGAGAGUUUGAUCCUGGCUCAGGACGAACGCUGGCGGCGUGCCUAAUACAUGCAAGUCGAGCGGACAGGUGGGAGCUUGCUCUCUGAUGUUAGCGGCGGACGGGUGAGUAACACGUGGGUAACCUGCCUGUAAGACUGGGAUAACUCCGGGAAACCGGGGCUAAUACCGGAUGGUUGUUUGAACCGCAUGGUUCAAACAUAAAAGGUGGCUUCGGCUACCACUUACAGAUGGACCCGCGGCGCAUUAGCUAGUUGGUGAGGUAACGGCUCACCAAGGCAACGAUGCGUAGCCGACCUGAGAGGGUGAUCGGCCACACUGGGACUGAGACACGGCCCAGACUCCUACGGGAGGCAGCAGUAGGGAAUCUUCCGCAAUGGACGAAAGUCUGACGGAGCAACGCCGCGUGAGUGAUGAAGGUUUUCGGAUCGUAAAGCUCUGUUGUUAGGGAAGAACAAGUGCCGUUCGAAUAGGGCGGUACCUUGACGGUAC